ACCAAAAAGGACACAGAGAAGAAUUGAAGAAU
rnacentral:sRNA from 1 species